rnacentral:rRNA from 1 species
GACGAACGCUGGCGGCGUGCUUAACACAUGCAAGUCGAACGGAAAGGCCCUGCUUUUGUGGGGUGCUCGAGUGGCGAACGGGUGAGUAACACGUGAGUAACCUGCCCUUGACUUUGGGAUAACUUCAGGAAACUGGGGCUAAUACCGGGUAGGAGCUCCUGCUGCAUGGUGGGGGUUGGAAAGAUUCGGCGGUUGGGGAUGGACUCGCGGCUUAUCAGCUUGUUGGUGGGGUAGUGGUUUACCAAGGCUUUGACGGGUAGCCGGCCUGAGAGGGGGACCGGCCACAUUGGGACUGAGAUACGGCCCAGACUCCUACGGGAGGCAGCAGUGGGGAAUAUUGCACAAUGGGCGGAAGCCUGAUGCAGCAACGCCGCGUGCGGGAUGACGGCCUUCGGGUUGUAAACCGCUUUCGCCUGUGACGAAGCGUGAGUGACGGUAAUGGGUAAAGAAGCACCGGCUAACUACGUG